GGUUUCACUGCUGAGGUCAGCGCGCUGCGUCUUUGGCGCUGUGUGGACGCUUUGGGCAUUUUUUUUUUUUUUUUUUUUUUUUUUUUUGCGCGCAGAGUGGUUGCACUUUGAAAGAAACUUCAGCAGAAUACUCAGCCUUUUUAGAUUUCUCUUUUAAUCUUAGUCCAUAUAUAUGUAUGUAUUUUUAUAGCACAGUCUCAUUUGGUGAUAAUAGAGAUGAACUCUAAAAAUAAUAAUAAUAAUAAUAAUAAUAAUAAAAAAAGGCCAAGCAAGCAACGCGUUCCAGAAACCCAAGGCCCGAGCGCAAAGAUUUGUUUUCCCACCGAAAGGAUUUCCACAAUUCGUCUCCAGCUGGUCUAAUGUCGCGCUGUGAGCUUCCUGUGUGAUCCCUUCAUUCGCUUUGCAGCAGAGGAAUAUAAACGCGGAGCAGCUCAAGACGCUCCAUGCCUCCUCUGAUCUCUGAUCUCCCCCGUUGUCAUGGCGAAUCCACACAAACUGAGACAGCGCUCCAACCCUUACAGUCGAUUUCUGUCAGGGUUUUCUCUUCAGAGGAUGUGGCAGACUGGCUUGUUGAAGUCCUUCGUGAAAGCAGCAGCAUCCACGUGAGUGACGGCCGCGGUCUCUGCACAAAACAGGAAGUCAGGCUGAAACCUCGAAGGAGACGUUUAGACGGCUAAAGCGGGAUCUUCACCCGUCUGUCCCAAAGCCCGGCAGAUGGGAGAAGAUCUGUGAAGGAGGAGUUCAUUUUCUUUUCUUUUUUUUUGACAAUAAAAACAAUCGGACUCGGCAGUCGUCCUCUCCGGGUGCCGAUGACAGCCGGCUGCACACAGCCAAGAAAUCUUUGGACCUUCUGCUAUGUCCCCAAACAAAAUAAAACCUAAACCGUCUGCUGACAACCGCUGCAACUGAGAACCAGCUAAUCUCUCUGAAGGAGGAAGGAAGAGGAAAGCCGGAGGACGCUCCUGAGGUCGAGUGGAAAAAGCUGCAGGAGGCGGCAGGUCAUCCUGAGAGCCGCUAAUCAACGUUAACACCUCAGCAGGAAGCAGCAGGGUCCCAGAGAGGACGAUAAGGAGAUAUCUAGGAUAAGAACUGGAUGAGUGUGUAGACUUUCACUGAUGUGACUGAAAAUUUUAAUCAUUUUGGCUGCUCCAUCUGUAGACUCCUUUGUGGUGAAGCAGAGAGACAGCAUGCUGGCUUUUGAGUCUAAGGAACUGUGCAAGCAUUUAUUACAUCGUUUAUCAUUUAUCGUGGUAAAUUCCUUAGAAGAAUUUUGAUUUAUUGUCACAAUAAAUUCCAAUGAAUAAUGUUUAAAACCCCCAAAAGAUGUCCGUAUUAUCCGCGCUGUUACUUUUACUAUCAUUUGUUUUAUGAGAGUAGCAAUACAUACCAAUAAAUUUCAAAAUGUGACUAAA